AACUGUUUUUGAGCCACCUCACAUGGCUAAGGUGGUAUUCUCAAGACAGUGGAGCAUCCAGAGACAUUAGACUCAUCCAUCUUGGAAGACCCCACCCUGCCCCCUUCGCUUUAGCUGCUUGUGGAUUGUGCCUCUGAAUCCUUUCUAGCUUUUCUGGAAUCCCUCAGAUUAAAGCUCAAGAAAAGGCUGGAGAAAGAGGAUUCUCCAGCGCACAGCAGGGACCAUGUUGCUGCUCAGUUCGUGAUUCCACUGAAAAGUUAUGCCUGAGUUCUUACAGUACCCUGGAACAUCAUUCAUCAUAGCCAGGGUGAAUUUGCUGUACACAGGAGUGAUCCUUCUCGUCUGCCAUGUCCAUGGGUGUGUGAGAAAUCUACAUUGGAGCCGAAAGAAUUGUAUCUUCUCAGUCCAUAUUCAGAAGGUCUCUAAGUCCACGAUGACAGGAAAAUCUUCAGUGGUUCCAGAGACAAGCAGCCAGAAAUCCUGCACAUUUAUUUCCUAGAAGGAAGUGAGCUGAUGAGGAGAGUGAUCCCUUCAGAGAGAUCCUCUCUUUUAAAAAUGGACUCCAAGUUAAGCCAUAUCCAUUUCUGGGACCCUGAUGUGGCUCUCAAAAGCGGAUGUCACUUGCUUAAUGUUAAGUGAUUUCAAAAGCCUUAAUCAGGGGAGAGUAAAGGUGGGGAGGAAGAUGGUGAAUAAAUUGUGAGCACCUACCAAGUAAUGGGACAUGUCUUUAAUUCUUAAGCAUCAUGUUCUAUUUCACUUUGUUAUUUCAACUUAAAAAAAGAAAAGAAAACUGUCUUUUUAAAAAAGAUACAUUUUUGCUAUUAGUAUUCUGUACUUAAUAUCUGAGUACAGAUCCAUCAUUCAUUAGGUCUAUGGUAGGUCACAGCCUAAUUUUACAAAUUCAGAACCCUAAGUCAGAUCAACUCAAUUGCUCAAGGCAAUGUAUUUGCAAGUUAGAGUAAGCACUGAAAAUUUUCUGUCCUUGGACUGGUGUAGUGGGCAGUGUUGCUUUUCUGGAAGAAUUUGUUCAUACCUUAGAUUUAACACAGUUUUGUUUAUAAGCUGAAAAUAUUUAACCAACAUCUAUUCAUGUAAGAUAAAGUGUAAAUGUAAGCAGUGAUCUAGAAAAUUCAGGGCAAAAUAGUUUAAAUCACUUACAUCUUCCUAGAGGUUCUGUUUUUGUUUUUAAAUCUGAAAAAAAAAAAGUAGUUACUCGAUAGCCUUAGCUCUAAAAUAUACCUGACAGGUUAUUUUUAUUUGUCUGUUUUUCAGAAAUCAUAUCCAUGUUUUUCACUCUCUAUAGUCUUUAGCAAAAUGAAUCAAAGCCACUCUGUACCCAAAGCUAAUACCAAAGUGUUGUCUUUUUUUUUUUUUUUUUAACAUUGCAAGGCUUUACCUCAAGUGCUAUGCCGUAAAUUUACAGGGAAAGAAAAAAUUUAUUAAAUUAUAACCGAGAGGAGAUGACUUUUUUUUUUUUUACAUAGCAAACAAAAAAUUCCUUCAUGAAAGGCUAUAAAACCCAUAUUAUUUACCAAAGAGACCUUUCCUGUCUCCCAGGUAAACACUUACAGUGUGUAGACUUGUGUAAAUACAUAUUUAGGAGUGGCUAAAUAUGGCGAGGUAUUUUUAAAGGCAUAUUUACAAAGCUGAAUACAUAUAUUGGCGUUUUGGUAUGUGUAAACUGUGUAUGCUGCUCUGCUGUCCAUUCAGAAUCCUAGCAGGGCGCUGGGAGAUACACCUUGGAUACUGGGACUGAGUUUCAAAACAUUCGUCUUUAAUAAAAAUUACUAAGGACAGGCCCUUAAAUCAUCUGAAAAGGGUGAAAAUAUUCAACUAAUGGAGUGCAAGUCUUUCUCACCAGUGUGACUUGAGGAAAACUGUUUCAGAAAUACAGACAUCCUUCACGGAAGUAAAUCUUUUUUUUUUUUUUUUUUAAAUCUUUAAUUCUUACAUGCGUUCCCAAACAUGAACCCCCCUCCCACCUCCCAGAAGUAAAUCUUUCUGAACAUUUUUGUGCAAAACACAACCAUCAUUUCACGUUCAGCUUAAAAUAUUAGCAAAUAUUCAAAGAUACAGUCCAGAUGAUGAAUGGAUAGACUAGGAAAUUUUAGUUAAGGCAGAAAAGGCCAUUAAGACCUUUUAAAAAUUACUUUAGAAACACAUGGAAAUUUAAGUGACAAAAACCUGUUGUUAAUUCAAUGGCAGGAAGCUCCCUGUGAUAACGUACCAAAACUUGGUCUAGGGGAUUCACGAUGCCCAUGAGCCGCUCGGUUUCUCGCGAAUUUGUGCUCUAUGAGGAAAAGAAUGAGCCAGGAGCAGGCAGGUUGUAGAUGCACGGAAGGACACUAACCGUGCCUCCACUGUCUGCUCUCAGAGGGAAUAAGGAUCCCAUUUCUGUAAAAGCUCUUUCUAAGAUGGAGAAGUUGAGAGUCUAAAUAACUCUAGAGCUUGGGCUAUCUCAGGGGCCUUUUGCUAAGAAGUCUAAACAAUGCUUCUAUUUCAUUUCUAAUGCAACAUGCAGCUAUUUCUAAAUACUCUCAGUAUCCUGCAAUGGGAUUAUUGAAAAUCUUAUUAUGGCAAACUAUAUGGGGGACAAAGACUGUUUAUUCAGGGAAAUCAUUUCUCCAAUAAAAUUUGCACUGAGCUGUUUUUUUAACUUAAAAAAAAUAUACAUCGUAUGUACACAUUUUUUCCCAAGGUACAAAUACCACAGGUUUUGAUUAAAC
ensembl:lincRNA